rnacentral:misc_RNA from 1 species
UCAUCAAUGUGACGCGCCGCUCUUUCGCCGAAGGCGCGCUGAACGCUGCGCUGAUCCCUCAUUAUCUGCGGGUGCGGGAAACCGAAGGCACUGUUGCGGCAGGCGCCUCCCCGGGGGGCCGGCUCGGCAGGCGCCGCCCCCUCCNNNNNGAUCGGCAUCGCGGUCGUCCUCACGCUGCUGAUGCCGCUCGUCAUUGCAGUGCUUGCACCCGGCUUUG